UCCAUUCACCAGGUACUAAGAGGGUUCC
rnacentral:piRNA from 1 species